rnacentral:lncRNA from 1 species
GGGAUACUGAGUUUGAAGGGACACUGGGUGCCAGUCAAGUACAACCUCCCCUCCCAGAUGAGCUCAGAGGCAGGGACAAGUGAAUUAGCACCCAGGGUCUCAGCUCUAACAUGACAGCAUUUGAACCCAGCUCAAAGGGAAGCCUCAGCUUCUCUGCUUUUUGGCUCCUAGGAUCCCGGACCUUUGAAGGCCGGACCCUUGCCCUCAGGAACCUCCCCGGAAGCUGUUCUGUUCUAAGAUCUUCCCAAGCUCAGGCACUUCCAUGUUCUAGGAAGCGUUACGGGUUAAUUGUGGUGAUGUCUGGAACUGGCUGAAGUUGAAUACAGAGAGAAUUCAUCGAUUUGUCAGUUUAUUUAUUUAUUUUUUUUUAGCUCUGGUGUAAUUGGGAGAGGAAGGGGGUGGGGAGGGCGGACUGGGACAAGUGGCACGUGGGCUACUUGGCUGAGCCAUGCCCGGGAUUCAUGUAAACUACAGAAGGGACCGCGCCGAGGAGGAGUGGGUAAGAAGGCCAGAGCUCGAAGGGAUGCGAGUAGGGCGGCGUGGGGUACCUGCGGGCCCGGGCGCUGCUGGUCUGGUUCCCUCCAGCUCCAGAGGCAGGGAGGCGGUGCCCAGGGACCGGGACCGGCCCUCGGGAGGGGGCGCCCCCCUUCCCUAGUCUAACUCCCGCCCCUCUCUCUUCCUCCCUCCCUCUCAUUGGCAGCUGGAACCGCGUCGGGGGGUUUCCAUGGCGACGGGUCGCUAAGCAUCAAGUCUGUGGGAACCGGAGUCAGACAGUGCGAGCGGGGGAGUCCCGGAGGGCGAUCGGGAGACUGGCGGCGGGCAGCCCGGCGGCGCCUCCCCUCCCGUCCCGGGGGCUGGGACCGGGGGGCUGGAUCGGACCGGGAGGGGGGCAAGCUCCUUCGGGGCGGGGGCGGAGAGGGAUGACUGGGAGGGCGGAGCGGGCUUCUGGAACCCUGCUUGGAGAGCUGGAUUAGGACAGGCCCCUGCAGGUACCUGGGAACCGGUAACAGCCGCCCUCCGUGGCUACCCGCAGCAUAGCCCACCCACUGCUUGGGGGAGUCGGCCCUGCCCCGCCGGGCAUCGGCUUCCUUCCGAGGCCCAAAGGGACACCCCUCUCUCCUCCCUCCUGGGUCUCAAACCACGGCUCCCCUCUGGCGAAUGUCCCCGCUAGGGCCUCCCGAGCUGCCGGUGGCUUUGGGGCCAUCAAAUCUCACUGGGUCUGGGGAGGCCCAUCAGCCAUUCUUCCCAUCGGGCACUUCCUUCCUCUUCCCCUAAGGGUCACUACCUCUCAGGGGGCGUCCCCUAGAAAUAUCCUGCCCUGCAGGGACUGGAAACUGGAACCUUCCUGCAGAAGGGGCAGUUUGCCUCUGCCUAGAGCUGGGACAUGCUAAGCAGGCUAGGUGGGCGUGAUGGGUAAGGAGGACCGGAGUUCUGUGGGCCUGGAGGCCAGCAAAGGCCUGUGUUUGGCAUUGUAACACCUCCAUCCCUCCACUGGGAUCCUACAUACCUCUUCAGGCUGCUGGUCUUAAGACCUGCCGCUUAACCAGUAUUCAGCAACAAGGAAAGGAAGUCCCAUGCCCCAUUUUUCUCAAACCCUUGGCCUUCUGGAGUUUGGAGUGUCACUGGCUCUCCCCCAGCCCCCCGAUAAGGAGCCGUUCCUCCCAGCUGUCAAGUUUGAAAAGAAGCCGGCAUGGCCAUGUUGCGCCUGUGCCAGGCCUCCAGUUCGGGCUCCCUUUGCCCCCCGGAAAGGUUCUCUGUAUGGUGGCGAUCCGGCAGGGAUGCUGCCGCUCCCCGGCUGCCUGCUCUUUCCAUGCCCAUACAUGGGCACAUCUGGGACAACUGCUAUAGAGCAGGAGAGGAUGGGACCAGCUGGCCCCGCCUCCCUCCCGGGCCAGGGGCAGCCCCGGUCCCUUGCCCUCUCCCCUUCCCUUUGGCCAGGACCACAUCUGGAUCAUCAGCGCAAUAAAGGGAAGAUAAUUGCUGGGGCCGAGGGGGCUGGGGGUAACUCAGGGACACUGUUAGGGGCACAGCAACUGAGUGGAAGAAGGAUAAUCUUUAAAAGAAAUUUAUGUCUGUAAACAUAAAUUAUAUUUCCUGGAGAAAGAAUCCUUGUUUCCCACGUGCCUGUUUAUUUAUAAGCCCUGGGAGAGUGCUGGGCUCUGGU